UCUGAAGGCAGCUUUGUAUUUAUUUUACAUUGAAGACUCAGUGUGGUAUUACCUGGGCUAGUUUUGCACAACAGCAUGGUAGAGUUGUGCUGUGAAAGUUUUAGGCUAUUCUUUAAACACAAGGUUGUGCUGGGACGAAUCCAAAGUUACUAAAGAAAAAAGAAAAGGAUGUACAGUGUAGAAUCAAGGAAGUAUAACAUCUCCAUAUGCACAGUCCUCUUCAACAGCAAGAUUGUACUCUGCUCCUCUUCCACCUUUAUAUGCACUUGUCACAAUUCUCAGCCACCCUCUUUCACCCCAGGGUUCACCCCAUGAGUUACGAACAAUCCAGUAUUCUGUUCCAUUUUCUACACCCCAGCCAGCCACAGAUACAAUGUGAUUCACUGUGGGUGAGGGGUUGUACUCGGUAUAGAGUCCUCCAGUGUAAGCAUCCAGCUUCUCAGUAGCCAUUAUACCACAGCUGUAAUGAAACAGAGCAAUCAUCUUUAGACACAGAAAUCAGGUUGGAGGCCUGGCUAAAAAGGAAAAAAAAAAACCAAAAAAAAAC
rnacentral:lncRNA from 1 species